UACGGAGGAUCCAAGCGUUAUCCGGAAUUACUGGGCGUAAAGAGUUGCGUAGGUGGCAUUGCAAGUAGAUAGUGAAAUCCUGGGGCUCAACCCCUUCAACAUUAUCUAAACUGCAAAGCUAGAGGGCGAGAGAGGUAGCUAGAAUUCCUAGUGUAGGAGUGAAAUCCGUAGAUAUUAGGAGGAAUACCGAUGGCGUAGGCAGGCUACUGGCUCGUCCCUGACACUAAGGCACGAAAGCGUGGGGAGCGACCGGG
rnacentral:rRNA from 1 species